rnacentral:rRNA from 1 species
UGACAAAGUUUAAAUGGCCGCGGUACCCUGACCGUGCUAAGGUAGCAUAAUCAUUUGCCUCUUAAUUGGUGGCUAGUAUGAAUGGACACACGCAAGUACCCCUGUCUCAUCAGCAUAUAUAAAAAUUACCAAUCAGGUGAAGAGGCCUGAAUGAAAUAAAAAGACAAAAAGACCCUAUGGAGCUUUAUUUAACACCUCAAUGCCACCAGCUAACACCAUCCCACUUUGAGCAAAUAAAUUUAGUUGGGGCGACUAAGGAAAACUAUAAAUCUUCCUCAUAAAAAAGAAAAUAAAUCCCUCAUUUGAUCCGUUAUACGAAUAAAGACACAGC